rnacentral:lncRNA from 13 species
GGUAAGGCAGGGGGAAGCGAGGCGAGGCCUGGAACAUACCAGGCAAGGGCCUCAGGAGGAUAGCACAGAUGUGGCGCACUCAGCAGACCAACCGCAGACACCCUCCCACACCACGGGGCCCACCCCUCUGUGCAAAGAUGCCCCCACUUGACAUUCUCAAUUCUUUGAGGUUAAAAUUUUAUUAGCAUUCCCUGAAAAGUGGGAGAGCUUAGCAACAAGACUCUAUCAUUUUUGCAAGAUACAAAGAAAGCGCUGCUGGAUGGCAUGUGCCAGCUCCCUCGCCACGCUGGGCGCUUUUACUCACAUCUCAUCCUGCAGAGAUGCAAGUCUCCUCACCCACUCACUGGGGCAGACAUUAUUAGAUGCCAAUGCAAUACCCAUUCCCCACGUCCUAAUAGAACUCCAGUUGUGUCCAGGCAGGUGACGUGCCCAGCUAAAAAUGCUCACCUUUUCAGACUCCCUUGAAACUAGCAGUGGCCACAUGAUACUUCCAGCAGAGAAGACAUAGACAGAGAUCUUCUGGGGCUUCUGGGAAAACUUUUACUUCCCUGAAACAGGUAUCACCUUCCUUCUCCCAUUCUUUCUUCUGUUUUGAACUGUAGAAGCAAUGCCCGGAGCUGCAGCAGUCAUUUUGUGAUUGUGAAGCCAUGAACUGGGGAAUGAAGACCAGCAUCAAAGAUGGCAAAACAGAGAGAGGUAAAGAGCAAUCAUUCCCUGAUGGCAUGGCUGGGCCACUGCUCCAACCCUGUGAGGCCACACGUCUCCAUAUUACAUGAGCCAAGGCUGUCUUCCGCAUCUAAACUUCUCUACACCCAGCUCGGGGUGGCACCGUGGCCUGGAGAUGCAGUUGGAACGAGGAAGAGAUAUCCCACUGGAAAACUUUUUCUGACUCUGAUGAGGUAUAUUCAAGGUAAACUGCCGUGAGACCGGAUGAAGGCAGGCCCUCGGCCAGGAUGACUGCCACCCUUAUAGGAAGAAGGAAAUCGGGACAGAAACACACAGGGAGAGGCUGUUUGAAGAUGGAGGCAGAAGCGGGGGUGAUGUGGCCACAAGCCCAGGGGCACUGAGAAGCUGGAAGCAGCAGGAAGGACCCUCCCGCUGUGUCAGAGUGAGCUCAACCCUGCUGACACUUUCACUUUCAUCUCGGGCUGGUGACCCCCACACCUGUGGGAGAAUAAAUGUCUGUUGUGUUCACGUCUCA